rnacentral:rRNA from 1 species
CGUAUCACCCAAGACAACUUUACGGAGUUGACGAUUGACGGAGCGAAGCGACGUCAAAGCGUUCAUUAAAGUCGAGUUGGCUUAGGGAUACGUUCGUUGGGUAGGGGAGCGUUCUGUAAGCCUGUGAAGGUGUGUCGUGAGGCAUGCUGGAGGUAUCAGAAGUGCGAAUGCUGACAUAAGUAACGAUAAAGCGGGUGAAAAGCCCGCUCGCCGGAAGACCAAGGGUUCCUGUCCAACGUUAAUCGGGGCAGGGUGAGUCGACCCCUAAGGCGAGGCCGAAAGGCGUAGUCGAUGGGAAACGGGUUAAUAUUCCCGUACUUGGUGUUACUGCGAAGGGGGGACGGAGAAGGCUAUGUUGGCCGGGCGACGGUUGUCCCGGUUUAAGCGUGUAGGUGUGUGUUCCAGGUAAAUCCGGUUCACUUUAACACUGAGGCGUGACGACGAGGCACUACGGUGCUGAAGCAACAAAUGCCCUGCUUCCAGGAAAAGCCUCUAAGCAUCAGGUAACACGAAAUCGUACCCCAAACCGACACAGGUGGUCAGGUAGAGAAUACCAAGGCGCUUGAGAGAACUCGGGUGAAGGAACUAGGCAAAAUGGUGCCGUAACU